rnacentral:rRNA from 1 species
UCCCCUGGUAUUCCGGGGAGCACGCCUGUUCGAGUGUCGUGAAAUUCUCAAACUGGGAUGCUUUUUGUUUCUCGGCUUGGUGUUGGGCUUUGCAGUUCCUUUGAUUGGGAUGGCUGGCCUCAAAAGCAUUAGCUGGCUUUUCAUGUGGCAUUGGUUCUACUCAGCGUGAUAAUAAUCUGACCGCCGAGGACAUCUUUCGAGAUGGCCAAUUCUCAUUUGGGCUGCUUCUAAUUUUGGUAGAGCGGAUUCUGAAUCUGUUCCACUUUUUCAACUUUUGACCUCGAAUCAGGUGGGACUACCCGCUGAACUUAA